UCCAGACUCCUACGGGAGGCAGCAGUGGGGAAUAUUGCACAAUGGGGGAAACCCUGAUGCAGCAACGCCGCGUGAGUGAGGAAGUAUUUCGGUAUGUAAAGCUCUAUCAGCAGGGAAGAAGAAAGACGGUACCUGACUAAGAAGCCCCGGCUAACUACGUGCCAGCAGCCGCGGUAAUACGUAGGUGGCAAGCGUUGUUCGGAAUAACUGGGCGUAAAGGAUGCGUAGGCGGUUAAACAAGUUAUAUGUUAAAUAUAUAGGCUUAACCUGUAGAAAGCAUAUAAAACUGUUUAACUAGAGUGCAGGAGAGGUAAGUGGAAUUCCUAGUGUAGCGGUGAAAUGCGUAGAGAUUAGGAAGAACACCAGUGGCGAAGGCGACUUACUGGACUGUAACUGACGCUGAGGCAUGAGAGCAUGGGGAGCAGACAGGAUUAGAUACCCCAGUAC
rnacentral:rRNA from 1 species